AUUGAACGCUGGCGGCAGGCCUAACACAUGCAAGUCGAGCGAGCGGCGGACGGGUGAGUAAUGUCAGGGAAACUGCCUGAUGGAGGGGGAUAACUACUGGAAACGGUAGUUAAUACCGCAUACCAUCAGAUGUGCCCAGAUGGGAUUAGCUAGUAGGUGGGGUAACGGCUCACCUCGGCUACGAUCCCUAGCUGGUCUGAGAGGAUGACCAGCCACACUGGAACCGAGACACGGUCCAGACUCCUACGUGAGGCAGCAGUGGGGAAUAUUGCACAAUGGGCGCAAGUCUGAUGCAGACAUGCCGCGUGAGUGAAGAAGGCCUGCGGGGUGUAAAGCACUUUCAGCGGGGAGUCGUUACCCGCAGAAGAAGCACCGGCUAACUCCGUGCCAGCAGCCGCGGUAAUUC
rnacentral:rRNA from 1 species